UGUUCGUCUUCUCUGCAAAAGACAGCAUUUAAGGCACCAUCUUGGAAGUAAAGACUGGGCACUCACCAGACACUGAACCUGCUGGCAUUUGGAUUUUGAACUUCCCAGCCUCCAUAACUGUCUAACCAUAAAAUCAUCAAUACUGGCAAAUUAAAAGGGGAACAUGUCAGGCCUCACUCUUUCUGUACUGGCUUUCAAGAGUAUUGUCUUUGGUGAGGAAGACAAAGUGACUGGGCUCAGUAACUCGCCCGAGUCACAGAGUCAAAGCAGGAGCUGGACCCAGACAGUCCAGAGCUCAUGCUCGUACACACUUCACUUCGCUAUCCUGAAUGAAAAAACCAAGACUCCAGGAGGGCUGCAGCUUUGUCCAAGGUGUCAUGACUUGCCCACAGCCACCCUCUUGGCAAAUGACCCACUAAACUCCACCUCCGGCUCUUCUACCUCCAGAGCCUGUGUCUGUAUGUCUUCCUUUUGGAGCUUUCUUUCUUGUUAUUCUUUAUGUUUCAAUUUUUAAAAUUAUAGUCAAAUAUACACAACGUGAAUUUUGGCCAUUUUAA
rnacentral:antisense_RNA from 1 species